rnacentral:rRNA from 1 species
UACGUAGGGUGCGAGCGUUGUCCGGAAUUAUUGGGCGUAAAGGGCUCGUAGGCGGUGUGUCACGUCGGCCGUGAAAACCUGCAGCUUAACUGUGGGCGUGCGGUCGAUACGGGCAUCACUGGAGUUCGGCAGGGGAGACUGGAAUUCCUGAUGUAGCGGUGAAAUGCGCAGAUAUCAGGAGGAACACCGGUGGCGAAGGCGGGUCUCUGGGCCGUAACUGACGCUGAGGAGCGAAAGCAUGGGGAGCGAACAGG